rnacentral:tRNA from 1 species
CGGAGAAAAGUGGGAAAUCCGGCUGGGGGCCGGGCGGUCGCAGGUUCAAAUCCUGUCUCCCCGA